GGCUCUCUGAGCAGGUCUCCGCUGGCCACACACACGAUGAGGACUCUAUGCUUUUGUCUAAUGUGUGACGUGGAGCCACCGUUAUGGGGGAAGAGGCACGAAGAGGCCAGAGGAAGCCAUGAGACAUCAGUGAACCAGAAGCAUGGGAACUCAAGCAAGCCACUGUGUGAGCAUCAUGGCGUGAGCAUCCGAGGCUUCUGAGGAGUCUCUGAGACCGGCUUUACCGUGUGAACAACUGUCAUUGUCAAAGUGGAAUGGAAAGCGUUCAGCAGAGUCUGUACGGUCGGAUCCUCCCAGGGCUCCAGACUGGGCAGCUGGAUACCGGUCACCACAGACACAACUCCUCCCUUGGCCCUAACCUGCUAACCCUGCCGCACACCACACCAAGUGAGCCCAGUCGCCGAUUUCCAAUCAUGAAUCACACUCCCCCUCUUGAGCCACAGAGCCUCCAGUUGAGGUUCUGUGGCUAUUACCACACAGUCUGGGGUUUCUCUCCCCAGGAUGUUAAGCAACAAAAUCCAAGUUAUCUUUGAAGAAAGAAACCUGAGAUGGUA